UUGAAGAUGUUCCACCUGAUUUAAAGUUCAUGAUGAAAGUGGAACAUCUUCAAGAACAAAACACAAGGAGAACUCUGGAGGCCUAGAGAUCAAUAUUUAUUUCAUUUAUACAAUAAUAAUCAAUAAAAGCAACAACACACAUCUCACUAUGACUCAGAGUUCCAUUAGAUAGAACACAAGCGUCUGCAGAUCUAAUGAUGAGUUUAAAGGUUCAUCAAACGUUGAGAACAUUAAAGAAUGAAAGGGUUCCUGGUCGUCCAUCAUGGAGAGAAAUGCUGCUACUUCCUUUAGCUUCAGCUCAGCAGGUCAACAGACUCCAGAUGGAACCUUAUCCUCCUGCUGCAGAACAAACACUCUGUCUGUUUAAACCCACUGAGUUCUCUUGGAACAUUAGCACCAGGUAGAACCUUACAUGGAUUGAAUGAUGUAGUGGAUUCUGACUGGUGGUUGGUGUUUGUUGGUUUGUACUUUUUCUGUUCAGAUGCUGUGACUUCAUUUAUUUAUUUCAUCUAAUCCAGCAGGUUGAAAGAAGAAAACCUUUGUGUUGCUGGAAACUGAAAGAACCCAAACCCUGCAUGAACCAGUUCUAUUUAUCUAUGAAACCAGAUGGAACCAAUCAGUUGGUGGAACUCCAACAUGUCUGAAGGACAUAAAGGAGUGGAUGACCAGGGGUCCAUUUCACGAAGCAGGUUCAACAAACUCUGAGUUUAACCCUGAACUCUGAGUUGAUCUACUCUGAGACAGAAAACUCUGAGUUUUCGGUUUCACAACGGCUGAUUUGAGUUGGUUAAAUCAACUCGGAGUAGUUUCACCCGGAGUUAAGCGCGUGCACCACAACUCUGAAAAGCCAGUAUCAAUGGAGCGCCGAUUCGACGAGUCACCAUGGCAACGGGGAAGCGGAGGACUACACCGUUUGAAUUGGAAAUCUUAAUGCGCUUAUAUAGCGAGUUUGAAUACGUUUUUAGAAAGAAGUGCAGCACCUGCAGCUGCAACAGAGAGGGAGACGGCGUGGGAGAACAUUGCUGCCCUGUCAAUGCGUAAGUUUAAAUCACAAUAAUAUUACAGGGGAAGACUAUUAAGUUAUUUCAUUUAGGUGCAAUCCCGCGGGGGUGAAGCGCACGUGGCAGCAGCUGAAGAUGAAAUAUAAAAACAUUGUUCAAACAGGUAAGAAGUCGGCAUAAUCUCAUGGAGCUACCUCAUUUUGAUCAUGUUUUACAUUGUAAAGUAGCCUAAAUAUUAGGUGGCUGUUUGUCUGUGCAGUGGUUUUACCCCGCACAUAGCCUAAAUGUCUGCAUCCAUAUCAUGUUCUGUUAAACAAUUAAGCCUAUUUAAACUAACACAGACUUCCACUCAGCCAACAGAAAGAAAGCAGAUGCCCGUAAAACAGGUGGUGGCCCAGCACCACCACCUCUAACGGAGGCAGAGGAGCUGGUCCUAAGCCAGAAUUUGGGAAGGCCAGUGGCUGAGGGAAUCCCUGGAGGGAGCUCAUCCUCUGAGACCACCCCCCAAGACACAAGUGCUUUUAUAAAAUAUUCUGAUGGUACUAUCUGCCUGGUGGAGCCCCUUCACACCACAACAGACCUUGUAACUGAUGAAGAGGAUGAAACUGUCUGCUGCCUUUACAGAGGGGGAUCCAGAAAGGCAUACAGAGAGCAUGGCUGGACAGCAGCAGGAUGCUUCCUCAGCUUCCACUGCACAGAUUGACACAGUGAGAUGGAUGUUCAGUAAACACCAGAGGUUCAGUCCAUGGAAUUCAUGUGCAACUGUAUAAUUUAAGGUCCUUUAUGUAUUCCCAGUUACCAGUAAAACAAAUAUACAAAAUCCACUUGCUGAGAAAAAUACAAAAAACAGAUAAAGAAAUGCAGUACUUGGACCGCCAGAUUAAGAAGGCAGAUCUGGAAAUUGAAAUACUGGAGCACAAGUUAGAGGUGGGUGCAGGUCACAGGUGAAUUAUGUUAACUACUGGAACAUGAACUAAACUAGCUCUUUUAUUUGUAGGAAAUAAAGAAGACCAAAUGAAAUGUAUGUAAUGUGUUUAUUUCAC